UAUGAAGAGAGUUUGAUCCUGGCUCAGGACGAACGCUGGCGGCGUGCCUAAUACAUGCAAGUGGAACGCACGAUUAAACCGUAGCUUGCUACACCAUAAUCGUGAGUCGCG
rfam:Streptococcus sp. 'caviae' strain Cavy grass 6 NODE_1_length_393768_cov_228.913, whole genome shotgun sequence.